UACCACAAAAUUUUAAAGGUGGAAGGAAUGGUACAAUGUUGGUAAUUCUUAAAAACAUAUAUACUGUCUGUCCUGGUUUCCGGAUGAAAACACUAAAACUUAGAGAAUCUGAGGAUCAGGGAUAAGGUCACGAUAGCUAGCAGUAGAGCCAUAGGAAAUUCAACUUAUCCUAUGGUUUCUGUGUGCUACACUAGUGCUUCUUAAAUUUCAGUUAUUUACAUAUAUUAUGUAGGUUUCUCAGAUAAAGUUAUACAGGGUAGGUGAAAUCCCUGGAAUGUGCUGUGUUACAAUUAUUCCUUCUUCAAGUAACUGAAGAUAUUAAAUUAUGGCAAGGUUUCUCAACCAAAGUCUCAGCGAUAUCUAUACACUUACAUUAAAGGAAAAUGAAUACAUAGGCAAUCCCCUAUCAGAAUUUUUGGAAUUCUGAUCUUUACUGUUUUGAUAAGUCUCUUCCAAAGGUGUUUUAGAGACUAAUUUAUCAAUUUGAUUACUAAGUAAAGCAAGGAAAGAACUAAAGGAAUUUUGCAUGGGGAGAAGACCAAUGAGAUUUUUCUAUGAACAGAAUAGUGACUAAAUUUUACCAUGUGGCCUACAAUGUCUGUCUCAGUCAAGGUUAUAUACAAUCCCUCUGUAUUCUUCUGUCUCCCAAUAUCAUGCCUGGAGCCAAGACACUUGGACAAAUAAAGAAUCCUACUUUUAGACGGGAGACUCAAAGUAGUAAAUGUAAAUAUUGUUAAGAUAUUACAUAAGGAACAAAGGAAGAGUGGCUCUCUUUGACUCAUUUCUACUCAAAUUACUAUUUUGUUGUACUUUAUGAAAAUUAACAGUCUGAACAAGAGGAGGAAGUUAGUUUAAUUUUGGAAGAUCUUAAAUUGUAUAUCAGUUCUCCAAUGGCCAUUUUUAAUCAACUCAAUUUUUAAACAAAAACUUAUAAAUAUGACUGAACUGAAGAUUUCUAUAGAGAGCUUCAACAUAAGACUUGAUCAAGCAGAAGAAAGGAUCAGUAAACUCACAGACAGGUUAUUAAAAAUUACCCAGUCAAAGGAACAAAAAGAGUAAAGGAAUGAAAAAGAGUGAGAAAGGCUGUGAGAAUUAUGGGGCAAUGAAGCAAACUAAUCUUUGCAUUAUAGGAGUUCCAGAAGGAACAGAGAAUGAGAAAGGAGUACUGAAUAUAUUUAAAGAAAUAAUGACAGAAAACUUUAUAAACUAGGGACAGAUGUAAAUAUCUACACAUAAGAAGCUUUGAAGAUCUCCAGUUAGGUUCAAUUGAAACAAGGCUAAAAUAAUACAUAGUAAAACUCUCAGAAGCAUUAAGACAAAGAGAGGAUCCUGAAAGCAGCAAGAGAAAAGAAUCGUAUCUCAUAAAAUAGAACUCCAACAUGGCUGUAAUUAGAUUUCUCAGCAGUAACGUUGAGGGUCGGGGUAGAAUGCAACGCUAUAUUAAAGAAAAGCAACAACAAAACCCAAGCAAACAAAAAUUUCUUGCUCAAAAAAACAAACGAGAAAAAAACUAGCAACCAUAAUGUUGUCCCUCAGAAAUGAAGAAGGGAUAAGAGCUUUCCCAGGCAAAUAAGAGCUGAGGAAGUUCACUAGGCUUGCUGUAUAAGAAAUGCAAAAGGGAAUUCUUCAAGCUGAAAGAAAAGGAUGGUAAUUGGUAAUAUGAAAACAUAUAAGUGUAUAAAAGUCAUUUGUGAAAGUAAGUACAUAGUCAAAUUUAGAAUGCUGUAAUGCUAUAAUGGUGAUGUGUAAAUCAGUUGUAUCUUUAGUGAGGUUUAAAUGCAAAGCUGUUAAAAUAGGCAUAUUUACAAUAAUUUAUGAAAUGAUAUAUAUAAAAUAUGUAAAUUAUGAUCAAUAACAUGUUGGAGGCAAUAAAAUUGUAGAGUUUCUGUAUGUUAUUGAAGGUAUCACCUUAAAAAUAGCCUGUUAUAACCAUAAUAUGUUUUAUAUAAGUCUCAUGGUAACCACAAAUAAGAGAACUAUAGUGUAUACACAGGAGAUAAGUAAGAAAUCAAAGCAUACCACAACAGAGAAUCAUUAAAUUACAAAGGAAGACAGGUAGAGUGGAAGAAAGGAACAAAGAACUUGCAAAGAUAUCAAAAAACAAUGAAUAAAAUGGCAGUAGUAUCUCUUUAUCUAUGAGAUAAGCAGUUUAAAUGUCAGUGGAUUAAAUUCUUCCAUCAAAAGACACAGAGCCACUGAAUGGAUUUUGUUAAAAAAUCCAAACCAUACCCUAUUAACAAGAAACUCGUUUCGUCUUUAAGGACACAAAUAGACUGAAAGUGAAGAAAUGGGAAACGAUAGUCUAUGAAAAUUGAAACCAAAAAGAGCAGAGCUAGCUAUACUUAGAUGAAAUAGACAUUAAAUAAAAAAUUGUGAAAAGAGGCACAGAAGAUUAUUAUAUAAUGAUAAAAAUGGUCGGUUCAUCAAGAAGAUACAACAAUUGUAAACAGAUAUGCACUGAACAUCAGAACACCUAAGUACGUAAAGCAAAUACUAAUAUAUCUGAAGGAAUAAACAAGACUGCAAGGCAAUAAUAGUAGAGGACUCCAAUAUUUCACAUUCAUCAGUAAAUAGAUCAUCCACUUAGAAAAUCAAUAUGGAAUUUGAUGUGUGCACUUCAGUCAUCCAAUAGAUCAACUAUACCUAGCAAACAUAUAUCAGAAUAGUUUAUCCAACAACAGCGGAACACACAUCCUUCUUAAGCAUAUGCUAAACAUUAUCCAGGAUAGACCAUAUGUUAGUCCAGAAAACAAAUCUUAAUACACUUAAGAGGAUUUAAAUGAUAUCAAGGAUAUAUUUUUACCACAAUGGUGUGAAAUUAUAAAUCAAUAAUAGGAAGAAUUUCAAAAAUUUACAAAUACAUGGAAAUUAAAAGCGUGCUUCUCAAUCAGUGGGUCCAAGAUGAAAUUAAAAGGACAAUAAAAAAUAUCUUGAGACUUGUGAAAGUAGACACUCAACAUAUCAAUUUGUAUAGGAUGCAGCAAAAUCAGUUCUAAGAAGUUUAUAGCACUAGAUGCCUACACAUAAAAGAAGAAAAAUCUGGAACAAUUUCGUGUUACACUUAAAGGAACUAGAAAAAUGACAGCCUAAGCCCAAAGUUAGUUGAAUGUAUGAAAUGGUAAACAUCAGAGCAGAAAUAAAUGAAAUAGAAAUUAUGGAAACAAUAGAAGAGAUCAACAAAGCUAACAGUUGCUUUUUUUAAAAGAUAAAAUUGACAAACCUUUAGCUAAGCUGAAAAAAUAGUGAAGAGUUAAAGAAAUAAAAUCAGAAAUGAAAGAGAAUACAUUACAACUUGUAUAUAACAGGAAUAUCAAGAGUCAUAAGAGACAACUAUGAGCAGUCAUUUGCCAACAAAUUAGAUAACCUAGAAGAAAUGUAUAAAUUCCUAGAAACAUACAUCCUACCAAGACUGAAUCAUGAAGAAGUUGAAAAUCUGUAUAAUAAUAAGUAAGGAGGUUGAAUCAGCAAUCAUAAACCUCCCUACCAACAACCGAGGACGUGAUGCCUUUACUAGUGAAUUCUCCUUAAUAUUUAAAGAAUAAACACCAGUGUUUCUCAAGAUCUCUCAAAAAAUUGAUUUGAUGAGAGAAAACUUCCAAACUCAUUUUAAGAGGCCAUUUUUACCAUGAUACCAAAGUCAAAGACACUACAAGGAAAAAAAAAAUGCAGGCCAAUAUUCUUCAUUAAGAUAGAUGCAGAAAUUCUCAACAAAAUACUAGUAAACCAAUAUAUUAAAAGCACCAUACACCAUGCUCAAGCAGGAUUUAUUCUUGGGAUGCAUGUAUGUCUGUGGUUCAACAUUUACAAGUUGAUAAAUGUCAUAAAUAACAUUAAUAGAAUAAAGUGAUUAUCUCAAUGAAUGCAGAAAAAGCAUUAGACAAAAUUUAACAUUUGUUAUAAAAACCCUAAGCAAGUUAGGUAUACAGGGAAUGUACCUGAACCUAAUAAAGGUCAUAUGUGUUAAACCCACAAUUAACAUCAUAACAAUAGGAAGGUGAAGAUGCAAAAAAAAAAAAAGUAUUACAUCAAAUCUUAAAAUAUUGUUUGGGGAUGGAAUAACAGUGUAGAGUCACUUAAUGCAAUCAAACUGAAGUUGUUAUCAGCUUAAAAUAGUCUAACUAUAAGAUGUUUCAUGUAAAUCUUUUGGUCACUACAAAGGAAAAAAUCUAUGCUAGAUACACUUAAGAUAAAAAGUAAGGAACCAAAGCAUAGUGCUAGAGAAAAUCAUUUGACCAUAAAAGAAGACAGCAAGAGAGGAAGAAAGGAAGAAAGAAUUACAAAACAACCAGAAAAACGAGCAAAAUAGCAAUAGUAAAUCCUUAUCUGUGAAUAAUUACCUUGAAUGUUAAUAGAUUAAGUUCUUCAAUGAAAAGAUAAAGUGACUAAAUCAAUCAGAAAACAAGACCCAAGUAUAUUCUGCCUACCAGAGAAUCACCCUCACUUUUAAGGGCACACAUAGAUUGAAUGUGACAGGAUAGAAAUAGAUAAUCCAUGCUGAUGGAAACCAAAAGAGAGUAGAAGUAGCUGUACUUAAAUCAGAUGAAAUAGAAUUUAAAACAUUAUAAAAAGAGACACAGAAAAGGUCAUUAUAUAAUGUAAACUGGCCAGUUUGUGGAGAGGAUAUAACAGUUGUAAAUAUAUCUGCACCCAACAUCCGAGUAGCUAAAUAUAUAAAGUAAAUAUUAAUAAAUCUGAAGAAUGAGAUAGACUGCAAUAUAGUAGUAGUAAAGACUUUAAUAUUCCUCUUUAAAUAAUGAACAGAUCAUCCAGACAGAAAAUGAUAUAGGACUUUAACUACAUCUUACAUCAAAUGUAACAGACAUACGUAGAGCAUUUCAGCAUUCUAUCCAAUAUUAGCAGAAUCCACAUUUUUGUUGAGCACUCUUGGAAACAUCUCCAGGACAGAUCAUAUGUCAGACCAGAAAAUAAGUCUUAACAAAUUUAAGAAGAUUCAAAAUAUACCAAGUAUCAUCUCCAGUCACAAUGGUAUGAAAAUAGAAUUCAGCCCCGUCCCCGUCCCCGGGGCCGCUGCCACCCGCCUCACACCAUGGCUCUGAAGAGAAUACACAAGGAAUUGAAUGACCUGGCCCGUGACCCUCCAGCACAGUGUUCAGCACGUCCUGUUGGAGAUGGUAUGUUCCAUUGGCAAGCUACAAUAAAGGGGCCAAAUGAUAGUCCCUAUCAGGGUGGAGUAUUUUUCUUGACAAUUCAUUUCCCAACAGAUUACCCCUUCAAACCACCUAAGGUUGCAUUUACAACAAGAAUUCAUCAUCCAAAUAUUAACGGUAAUGGCAGCAUUUGUCUUGAUAUUCUGCGGUCACAGUGGUCUCCAGCACUAACUAUUUCAGAAGUACUCUUGUCCAUCUGUUCUCUGUUGUGUGAUCCCAAUCCAGAUGAUCCUUUAGUGCCUGAGAUUGCUUGGAUCUACAAAACAGAUAGAGAAAAGUAACAACAGAAUAGCUCGGGAAUGGACUCAGAAGUAUGCGAUGUAAUUAAAGAAAUUAUUGGAUAACCUCUACAAAUAAAGAUAGGGGAACUCUGAAAGAG